UCAGAAACUCAAAGGAAUUGACGGGGGCCCCGGCACAAGCGGUGGAGCAUGUGGUUUAAUUCGAAGCAACGCGAAGAACCUUACCAGGCCUUGACAUGCAGAGAACUUUCCAGAGAUGGAUUGGUGCCUUCGGGAACUCUGACACAGGUGCUGCAUGGUUGUCGUCAGCUCGUGCCGUGAGGUGUCGGGUUAAGUCCCAUAACGAGCGCAACCCCUAUCAUUAGUUGCCAUCAGGUCAAGCUGGGGACUCUAAUGAAACUGCCUACGCAAGUAGUGAGGAAGGUGGGGAUGACGUCAAAUCAGCACGGCCCUUACGUCCAGGGCUACACACGUGCUACAAUGGCCGGUACAAAGGGCAGCUACCUGGUGACAGGAUGCUAAUCUCAAAAGCCGGUCUCAGUUCGGAUCGGAGUCUGCAACCCGACUCCGUGAAGUUGGAUUCGCUAGUAAUCGCGCAUCAGCCAUGGCGCGGUGAAUACGUUCCCGGGCCUU
rnacentral:rRNA from 1 species